rnacentral:rRNA from 1 species
UGAAGAGUUUGAUCAUGGCUCAGAUUGAACGCUGGCGGCAGGCCUAACACAUGCAAGUCGAACGGUAACAGGAAGCAGCUUGCUGCUUUGCUGACGAGUGGCGGACGGGUGAGUAAUGUCUGGGAAACUGCCUGAUGGAGGGGGAUAACUACUGGAAACGGUGGCUAAUACCGCAUAACGUCGCAAGACCAAAGAGGGGGACCUUCGGGCCUCUUGCCAUCAGAUGUGCCCAGAUGGGAUUAGCUUGUUGGUGAGGUAACGGCUCACCAAGGCGACGAUCCCUAGCUGGUCUGAGAGGAUGACCAGCCACACUGGAACUGAGACACGGUCCAGACUCCUACGGGAGGCAGCAGUGGGGAAUAUUGCACAAUGGGCGCAAGCCUGAUGCAGCCAUGCCGCGUGUAUGAAGAAGGCCUUCGGGUUGUAAAGUACUUUCAGCGGGGAGGAAGGUGUUGUGGUUAAUAACCGCAGCAAUUGACGUUACCCGCAGAAGAAGCACCGGCUAACUCCGUGCCAGCAGCCGCGGUAAUACGGAGGGUGCAAGCGUUAAUCGGAAUUACUGGGCGUAAAGCGCACGCAGGCGGUCUGUCAAGUCGGAUGUGAAAUCCCCGGGCUCAACCUGGGAACUGCAUUCGAAACUGGCAGGCUUGAGUCUUGUAGAGGGGGGUAGAAUUCCAGGUGUAGCGGUGAAAUGCGUAGAGAUCUGGAGGAAUACCGGUGGCGAAGGCGGCCCCCUGGACAAAGACUGACGCUCAGGUGCGAAAGCGUGGGGAGCAAACAGGAUUAGAUACCCUGGUAGUCCACGCCGUAAACGAUGUCUACUUGGAGGUUGUGCCCUUGAGGCGUGGCUUCCGGAGCUAACGCGUUAAGUAGACCGCCUGGGGAGUACGGCCGCAAGGUUAAAACUCAAAUGAAUUGACGGGGGCCCGCACAAGCGGUGGAGCAUGUGGUUUAAUUCGAUGCAACGCGAAGAACCUUACCUGGUCUUGACAUCCACAGAACUUUCCAGAGAUGGAUUGGUGCCUUCGGGAACUGUGAGACAGGUGCUGCAUGGCUGUCGUCAGCUCGUGUUGUGAAAUGUUGGGUUAAGUCCCGCAACGAGCGCAACCCUUAUCCUUUGUUGCCAGCGAUUAGGUCGGGAACUCAAAGGAGACUGCCAGUGAUAAACUGGAGGAAGGUGGGGAUGACGUCAAGUCAUCAUGGCCCUUACGACCAGGGCUACACACGUGCUACAAUGGCGCAUACAAAGAGAAGCGACCUCGCGAGAGCAAGCGGACCUCAUAAAGUGCGUCGUAGUCCGGAUUGGAGUCUGCAACUCGACUCCAUGAAGUCGGAAUCGCUAGUAAUCGUGGAUCAGAAUGCCACGGUGAAUACGUUCCCGGGCCUUGUACACACCGCCCGUCACACCAUGGGAGUGGGUUGCAAAAGAAGUAGGUAGCUUAACCUUCGGGAGGGCGCUUACCACUUUGUGAUUCAUGACUGGGGUGAAGUCGUAACAAGGUAACCGUAGGGGAACCUGCGGUUGGAUCACCUCCUUA